rnacentral:rRNA from 1 species
AUUGAACGCUGGCGGCAUGCUUUACACAUGCAAGUCGAACGGCAGCGCGGGCUUCGGCCUGGCGGCGAGUGGCGAACGGGUGAGUAAUACAUCGGAACGUGCCCAGUAGUGGGGGAUAGCUCGGCGAAAGCCGGAUUAAUACCGCAUACGACCUGAGGGUGAAAGCGGGGGAUCUUCGGACCUCGCGCUAUUGGAGCGGCCGAUGGCAGAUUAGCUAGUUGGUGGGGUAAAGGCCUACCAAGGCGACGAUCUGUAGCUGGUCUGAGAGGACGACCAGCCACACGGGAACUGAGACACGGCCCAGACUCCUACGGGAGGCAGCAGUGGGGAAUUUUGGACAAAGGGCGAAAGCCUGAUCCAGCAAUGCCGCGUGUGUGAUGAAGGCCUUCGGGUUGUAAAGCACUUUUGGCGGGAACGAAAAGGACUGUGCCAAUACCACGGUUCGAUGACGGUACCCGCAGAAUAAGCACCGGCUAACUACGUG